UCUGCCAUUUCUGCUUUGUUCUCAAUGCUGAAGGAGUGCAGAACUCAUUGUUUCAUGUGGUAGCUUUGUGGGCUGACUUCACAUGAAAGUGUUUCCUGCUCUGUCUUGGAGGCUGUGUUGUGUUUUCCAGAGGGCAGAAGCGUGGUAAAGCAUCUGGAAGGAGCAGGAAAGUUAAGGUUGUGAGGUCCAGUGAAGCAUGGAGCUGUGUGUGGGGGUGUUUCCCUGAAGGAGUUGCCAGUGAAAUAUAUACAGCUGAGCUGACUGCAGCACUUCUUACUAGAGCAUACUGUCAAGAGGAUGAAUGAAUAGCAUGGAAAAAGAAAGUUAAGAGGGAAUAGAGGCAUAUAUUUAACAGAUGGAAGAGGCUGCCUGAUUGUACUACCUCAGUCAGCACUGUCAUCUUCUGAUAAAUGAAGUGCCCUGCAUUUGCUGCACAGCUGUGGAUACUGGAGGAGAAACUGGAAAUGCAUGUUGCUCAGUAGAAAAGCAAAGAUUAUUUGUGUGAGCUCUUCACUUAUCGAGUGACUCCAAUAUGUGUAGUGGCAGGGCUGCUGGGUAAAGGAUUGGGGUUACAUUCUUCUGGAGUAGACCUUCUUACAGGCUCUGACCUUCCUCGGCUCAUUGCCAGGAAAGCAGUGCAGUUCAGCAGAAUGGAGCCUCAAGAUACAUUCCCAGUCACAAACGCCUUAUUUAAUAUAGCAGAAAUAUAACAAAUUUACUUGCAGGGCUCAGUUCCUUUAGAGUGACUUAGAAAUGGUCUGGAUUACAUGAUAAUUUAGUGUACUUAGAAAAAAAAGUAUCUUUCAAUCAACUUUAAAUAUGGAAAAAAUUCUUUUUAGUAUGAAAUUAUCACUACUAGCAUGACUAAUUUUGUUCAGUAGAAAAUCUCCAUAGAUACAGUAAUUUACCUGUUAUAUCACUUUAUUGUAUCUUUCUUACACCUGACCUUUGUGAGCUGAUAUUAGUUACAUGGUACUUCAGCCUUUCUUACAGUCCCAGAAUGUAUUUUCCUAUCCAGAUCUUUUGAGAUCUGUAUAUCUACUGUAGUAUAAUGUCAUGUGGAAUAAGACCUCACUUUUCCAUUGGAAGCUUGUAUCAGUCUUGUGACUUUACAUGAAGUAGAAUGUAGAUAAUAGAUGCAAACUCAGCUAUAGCAUCAGUCAAUUAAAAUGCUUGCCUGGUUGUAAGGUUUUACAGGUGCUUCAGAGACAUGCUUUAAUUACAGGAGAGUUGUUUCAGAAUGGUCUUAUAUGUGAUAGAAUAGUGCUUGGAGGUGCAGCACAGAUCAGAGCUUUUCUGGUGUACCUGCAGUGCAGACUCAGUAAAAAUUUAAAAAGCCAAGAGAAACGUGAGUGAUAAAAAGGAACUGGGGAAAACUGUUUUACAAGUGGGGAAGCUGGGGAAGCUGUGGUAUGUUGGCCAAGGCAUUGAUUGCAUCUGGGCUGGAUUCUUCAUUUGGCACUUUCACAAUAACAGAAUAGCUUCUCUUGAGGGAGAGGUAGUUUUUGAAGAACAGACUUUGAAACAUUACUUUUUUUUUUUUUUUCCUUCUUUAUCAGAAGAUGAUUUUUAAGCUGUCUCUGUAUUUUAUCAUGACUGGCCAGUCUGGAAUUUAAAACACAACUCAGUAAUAGAAAUUGCUUAUUUUUUUAACUCCAUAGUACACCCUGUUCAGAAAUGUUCUUGGGGAUGGCAAUGCUUAUAUGUGGAUCAUUAACUAAGCAUUCGAGGUACUCUGACCUAACCCACUUUCAUAGGGUUAAAUUAAAUAGAAAUCACAAAAUAACUAACUUAACAGAUCUUUUCACCUCAGUCAUUUUGUACUUGUGUUGGUGGAAUUAGACAUUGCAGUAGACAAGGUGAUUUCUUCAGGUAAGAAAAAACUUUACAUCAUGUCAGGAAAAUAACUGCUUUUGAAAGUGAAGGAAGCCAGGAAGACUACAGUGAUGGUGAAUCACUUUAAGCAUAGGUUGUGUAAUGCACUUAGAAUUGAAGAUCUGGCUUGUGCAAAUAAAAACAACUUGGAUAACAUCCAUGAGACCUCUGCUGCCUGAAAAGCCCAGGUCAGAAAUGAAGUACAGUGGUGACAGCAUUUUAAGUUCAUUAGACAUUGGCUGUUUGAUUGAAGACUAGAGGCAUAGUUGCAUGCAUCUCUGGGCAUUUCUUAUUGUCUGCUUAGCAGAGACACAGUAGAGGAGAAAGUGAAUCUCUUUCUAACAUCUUCUCCAUCAUCUACUUUACCUUUACCAGAGGACGGGAAGGCAGGCCUGACUGCCUCCUGUCUCUGAGCACAACAAACAAAAGGUCCCAUGCAGAUUUUGUACUCAAGCCAACAUGUGCAAAUUCUGGGGCUAGAAAUGUCACUAGUGCCUAGCAAUAUACACUCAGUGAAUCCCAUUUCCAACACAGAAUCUCACCAUUCCAAUAAGAAUUGUCCCUUUUCACAGGACAUAGAA